ACUUAAGUAGUUUAGUUAAAAUAGAAAUUUGUGGUAUUUCAGAAGAUUAUUUCCUUAGGUU
rnacentral:tRNA from 1 species